rnacentral:tmRNA from 1 species
GGGGGCGACAGGCUUCGACAGGGGUUUGGACGACCGACGGAUGCCAUGCCGGGCUACUCUAUGCAGCUCGUUAAAAAGCGUAGGGAAAAAACAAUUGCCAAUAACAAUGAAUUGGCUCUCGCUGCCUAAUUAGCAGUGAGCGUCUCACCGCAAGUCGCUUAUGCGCGCGGAGGGAGAUGUCACUCAGAUAAGCUGGCCCAACCUUUCGGUCCGUGAGGUUGGGCGAGACAAAGUCGGACUAGCUUUCACCGAGGUCUUGUCGCUUCACUUACUCGGUGCGAAGCGAAUUGUUGUCCGGCUUGUUCGGACAAAGAAGAGAAGCGACUAAGCAUGUAGAGUCUUUCGGCGGCUUCUCCUGGAUCCGAGUUCAAUUCUCGGCGCCUCCACCA